rnacentral:ncRNA from 1 species
UAAAAGUUUUAUUUUGGCUUAAAAUUUUAUUAUUGAUUUAUUUUAUAUGUAAGUUUUUGCAUGAAUUUUUGUUUAUUUUAAUAAUUAAUAAUUUUUAUAGUCUCAGUAAUUAAUUUUAUAAAUCAAGGAAACUUGGAAUUAGUAAUUUCAUUUAGUAUUGGUUAAAUUUGUGCCAGCAUCCGCGGUUAUACAAAUAAUACAAAUAAAUUAUUUUUAAUGAAAGUAAUAUAAAAAAUAAAUAUAGAUUUAUUAAGUGAAAUUUUAAAUUUAUUAAAUUUUUAUUUUUAAAUUUUUUAUAAUCUUAUAAAUUUUUAUAAAAACUAGGAUUAGAUACCCUAUUAUUAUAAAUUUAAAUAAAUUCAUUAAGGUAGUAUUAGUUAUGUUCUUGAAACUUAAAAAAUUUGGCGGUAUUUUAGUCUAUUCAGAGGAACCUGUUUUAUAAUUGAUAAUCCACGAUGAACCUUACUUAAAUUUGUUUUCAGUUUAUAUACCGUCGUUAUUAGAAUAUUUUAUUAGAAUAAUAAUUUUCAAAAAUUUUAAUUAAAAUUUAUAUCAGAUCAAGGUGUAGCUUAUAUUUAAGAAAAAAUGGGUUACAAUAAAUUUAUUUUUGAAUUUAAUUAUGAAAUAUUUAAUGAAAUUGGAUUUGAUAGUAAAAUUUUAAAGAUAAAAAAUUUGAUUUUAGCUCUAAAAUAUGCACAUAUCGCCCGUCACUCUUAUUUUUAAAAUAAGAUAAGUCGUAACAUAGUAGAUGUACCGGAAGGUGUCUCUAGAAUGA